UUCACCGUUUUUAUCGGUGCGGUUUCGGGGUAGAUUGAUUGAUGCGGUCUGGUAGAUUGAUCCGUAGAGAGAAGAGAGAAGCUCCAAACCAGCAAAACAUACAUGAGUGAGAACUGAGAAGAGACUAGAGAGAAGAGAAGAAGGGAAAAAUCUAACCCGCACGAGAUGAGGCUCUGGCCAAGAAGAGAACAAGAUGGGGUCUGGUAGAUCGAUCCGUAAAAUAAAGCGGGUCGAUGCUGUGUGCCGUCAAAACGACGUCGUUUUACUCUCAGUGCGCUUACCAACCCCUUUUUCCCGGGUCGGUUCGGUCAGUAACCGUUUUCUCGGUCCAUUAUGCCCAUUGCCCAGCACUCAAGUGAUAACACUUUAUUAGCCCGAGAGCACUACUGCUCAAGACGAACAACAAAGCUCGACCAUUAAUUCGCAACCCUCAACCAGGCAGCACCACCCUCAGCUACAUAGUCCAAAAUCGAUUUUGAUAUGGAUUGAUAAGUUAAAUUGAAUAAUUUGAGUAAUCUACGAAUGUAUUUAAUCAGCGUGUUCAAAUCUGAAUGCAGGCCAAUUAGAUUCGGAACCAAACCGUUUGCAUUUUGUGUUCCUGAGCAAAAAGAAGAUAUUUGCCUAAGAUUGCCAGAAGUACUGUUGAAGAGGUUUAUGGGAUUAAUUUGACCUGAUUUCAAGCACUUUAAUGUUGGCUGGAAUUUCAACAACCCAAUCAAUCUCUCAAAAAAGCUAGACCUAACGCGGUCAAGACUCAAGAAUAUUGACACCGUUCGAAGGAAAAGAAGGCGCGUACACCAAUUAUUAGCGGCCAAAUUUGUCACUUAAGCAUGGAAAACUUAACGCCGUCUUUUACGACAAUUUCCAACCACAUCAGCAUCCAAUACAGGUGUUCUUUCCUGGAUAAUAGCGACGUCUUAAAUCUGAAACUGGUCACCGUCCUGUAUUCUUAGACCUGCCAGCUGACGUUUAAAACGAUUGGUAAGAACUCGUCAACAGAAACCAAUUGCUAGGAAAUGUCCUCUCCUCUUCGAUUAUUGAUUACUUUAAUUUGGACCCGGUUGGUCUGAAGAAAAAUAUAUAUAUGAGUUUGGUCGAUCUCAGUGAACUUAAUAGAGAAGUUUGACCAAAACAGAAAUGCGUAUCUUACCCGUGGGCAUAGGCAAACAGGAUCUGACGUGCAAAUGCUGGCAUUGAAAUAGUCUCUGCAGUUAUCCAGCUAGCUAGCAGAUCCAUUAUAUAUUAUACAUGCAUAUUCAGGACCAAAGUAAGAAGGCAGGGAACCAAAGAAGCUGGUAGUCUGUCAGGAACAAGCAAACGAGCCCAAAAGAACUAAUCUUUCUCUUUCCCUUCAUUGCUUGUUCUUCCUUUUGUUCCGUGGUAGAUGAAGCUCGAUCGUUCUUUUGGGCUUGUUUGCUUGUUCUUCCUUUUGUUCCAUGGUAGAUGAAGCUCGAUAGGCACCUCCAGCUAUUUUCUGAUUACGCAUAUAUGCGUACAGUUUUCAUCGGAGGUGAAAGUUUAGCUCUCA